GACGAACGCUGGCGGCGUGCUUAACACAUGCAAGUCGAACGGAAAGGCACUGCUUUUGUGGGGUGCUCGAGUGGCGAACGGGUGAGUAACACGUGAGUAACCUGCCCUUGACUUUGGGAUAACUUCAGGAAACUGGGGCUAAUACCGGAUAGGAGCUCCUGCUGCAUGGUGGGGGUUGGAAAGUUUCGGCGGUUGGGGAUGGACUCGCGGCUUAUCAGCUUGUUGGUGGGGUAGCGGCUUACCAAGGCUUUGACGGGUAGCCGGCCUGAGAGGGUGACCGGCCACAUUGGGACUGAGAUACGGCCCAGACUCCUACGGGAGGCAGCAGUGGGGAAUAUUGCACAAUGGGCGGAAGCCUGAUGCAGCAACGCCGCGUGCGGGAUGACGGCCUUCGGGUUGUAAACCGCUUUCGCCUGUGACGAAGCGUGAGUGACGGUAAUGGGUAAAGAAGCACCGGCUAACUACGUG
rnacentral:rRNA from 1 species